rnacentral:tRNA from 1 species
GCGCUUGUAGCUCAAUUGGAUAGAGCGUCGGACUUCGAAUCCGCAGGUUGCACGUUCGAGCCGUGUCAGGCGCG